GCUGUGGAGAGGGAAGGACCUGACUGUCUGGGAGCCUAGGGUACUAGGAGUAAAGCAGGGCUGGGGAAAGGCAAGAGGAGCUGGGGAUCUCCAGCCUGGAAAACCCUCAGGCUGCAGGCCUUGGUGAAGGCCUACACAGCACACAGGACUAUUUCACUACCACCAAGAGGACCCAGUAUUUGAGUGGGAUCAGCUUAUGGAUGAAGAACAGCUGGCUGAAGCCUAACCAAAGCGAGAUGGAGGUUAUGCUGGGAGGCAGAGGAAAACACCUCGAAGAAGAGCAGUCUCUGCUGGUUGAAGCCUCAGCCAGCUGGCUUCUAUCCAUGCCCGAUUCUCAGCCAGACAUUUGGAGAGACAGUCAACUGUAUUGCCUAAGUCAGAAGAGACCAACAUAAAGCUGGGUAUCAUCUAUGUACUAAAGAGACCACAACACAUGCAUGCUAUCAAAUCUCCCACUGGCCUGAAAUACACAUUGAACAAGUGGCUCCCUACAGCUGGUUUGUCAGCUCCAUAAAGCAAUGAGGUCCAAUCCACUAGUUGCACACAGAGUUGGAGAGUAAGUGUCUCCUCUACUCUGCCCACAAAGAAUUUGCCUUGUACCUGAAAGUGGAUCCAUGGACUGCUCUGCCCACAGCAGGUUCUGUUUCUUCUCUCCAUGCUAGUCUCAGGUCACUUGUGAAGAGUUUUGGACUCAUCCACUACCCCGUUCAUGGGCUGGCAAAUACCUUCUUCCUAUUGGGGAUAGUACUACUUGUUUUCCAGAGCUUCAAAGAUGCUGAACAUGCUCUGACUUUCACUGUAUAUGUGUGCAUACAACCAUGCACACAAGAAGUAUCAUCAGAAGUUAGUUUUCAACUUGCCCAGCUUCCAUCCUAUGCUUGUUCCCUAUCCAAUGUGUUGUCUAAACUCAACUGAAAGACAUUUAGGGCCAAAUUUCCAUAGAAGCCUCAGUCCACAAUCACAGUCAACAGUGAGUGCAGGUAGAUAUUUAAAUUAUUUUCACCCUCAGUUGAUUAAGAGUGCAAAAUUAUGGGCUUCACAUCAUUAUUCUCAUUGCAUUAUUUGUAUUACAGUAGCACUGAAAGAACACGACAGAGACUAGGGCACCAUUGUGCUAGACAGAGUACAGUCAUAAGAUUGAAAAAGAGCUCUUAUCCCAGAGAUCUUACACUACUUUGGUCUCUUCUAAAAGCAGUUUUUUCUUUUCCCUCCAUUCAAAAAGUUGAAACUUUCACAAAUUGUUUCUUUUAAUGAAAAAGGAAAAUUAAUCCAACCAGAUCACUUCCUGUUGGAUACCAAUUUUAAGAUAAGGACCAAGGAAAAAUAAAAUAAAAUAAAUGUGUAUUUCUCUGGAAAUAUCUCCUCUGCAGAACACCAGCCACUGAGAAAGAUAUUCUUUUGGCUUAGCAAAAAGAGACACCUCCUUACUGCUGUUUAAAGGUGGGGGCAGGGAGAAGCUUUGAAAACUGUGUCAAGCUGGACAUGGUACAUCUUUCAUCCUAUUUCUAAUGGAUCACCUUUGAAAUCUAGGUAGGUGAAGCCACCUGGCUGACACCCAAUCUCUCACAUCAUGUACUAAAGCUUUUCUUCUCAUAUAGAAAUGUUCUGAAAUGGGGCAUUUUACAACAGUUAUUGCAGAUACACACACACACACACAGAGAGAGAGACACGGUACUUCUAGUCUAGUAAAACUUUUCGAAUAAUAAGACGACUUAAGGGCCAGUAUCAAGUAGUUCAGAGUCAAGAUUUAGGAUCUAAACAAAAAUGAAAAAUCCUUGAGGGAAAAAGUGUUAAAAGGUUUAGGUUUCCAAAACUAAGUAGGGGAUUUAAACACACAAUGCAUUAACUUGAGUUGAGUACCUAAAUACCCUAGCUAUCUUUGAAAAUCUCAACCCUAAUCUCUAUAGAAAUCGUUUUCAGGACUGCUUUUAAACACUUUAAUGAAAAAAGAAGGUUGGGUUAUUCUUUUAAUGUAAACUUUCUCUUGCAGUGCUUGUAACCUUUACUCUGUGUAACUGUGCUAAUGCAUGAGAGCCAGGAGGAGAAAUAUAUUAUAGACUGACUAGUAUAAAUGUACUGACUAAGAUAAGUGAAAUAUAAA